rnacentral:rRNA from 1 species
UUAAAUUGAAGAGUUUGAUCAUGGCUCAGAUUGAACGCUGGCGGCAGGCCUAACACAUGCAAGUCGAACGGUAACAGGAAGCAGCUUGCUGCUUCGCUGACGAGUGGCGGACGGGUGAGUAAUGUCUGGGAAACUGCCUGAUGGAGGGGGAUAACUACUGGAAACGGUAGCUAAUACCGCAUAAUGUCGCAAGACCAAAGAGGGGGACCUUCGGGCCUCUUGCCAUCGGAUGUGCCCAGAUGGGAUUAGCUUGUUGGUGGGGUAACGGCUCACCAAGGCGACGAUCCCUAGCUGGUCUGAGAGGAUGACCAGCCACACUGGAACUGAGACACGGUCCAGACUCCUACGGGAGGCAGCAGUGGGGAAUAUUGCACAAUGGGCGCAAGCCUGAUGCAGCCAUGCCGCGUGUAUGAAGAAGGCCUUCGGGUUGUAAAGUACUUUCAGCGGGGAGGAAGGGAGUAAAGUUAAUACCUUUGCUCAUUGACGUUAUCCGCAGAAGAAGCACCGGCUAACUCCGUGCCAGCAGCCGCGGUAAUACGGAGGGUGCAAGCGUUAAUCGGAAUUACUGGGCGUAAAGCGCACGCAGGCGGUUUGUUAAGUCAGAUGUGAAAUCCCCGGGCUCAACCUGGGAACUGCAUCUGAUACUGGCAAGCUUGAGUCUCGUAGAGGGGGGUAGAAUUCCAGGUGUAGCGGUGAAAUGCGUAGAGAUCUGGAGGAAUACCGGUGGCGAAGGCGGCCCCCUGGACGAAGACUGACGCUCAGGUGCGAAAGCGUGGGGAGCAAACAGGAUUAGAUACCCUGGUAGUCCACGCCGUAAACGAUGUCGACUUGGAGGUUGUGCCCUUGAGGCGUGGCUUCCGGAGCUAACGCGUUAAGUCGACCGCCUGGGGAGUACGGCCGCAAGGUUAAAACUCAAAUGAAUUGACGGGGGCCCGCACAAGCGGUGGAGCAUGUGGUUUAAUUCGAUGCAACGCGAAGAACCUUACCUGGUCUUGACAUCCACGGAAGUUUUCAGAGAUGAGAAUGUGCCUUCGGGAACCGUGAGACAGGUGCUGCAUGGCUGUCGUCAGCUCGUGUUGUGAAAUGUUGGGUUAAGUCCCGCAACGAGCGCAACCCUUAUCCUUUGUUGCCAGCGGUCCGGCCGGGAACUCAAAGGAGACUGCCAGUGAUAAACUGGAGGAAGGUGGGGAUGACGUCAAGUCAUCAUGGCCCUUACGACCAGGGCUACACACGUGCUACAAUGGCGCAUACAAAGAGAAGCGACCUCGCGAGAGCAAGCGGACCUCAUAAAGUGCGUCGUAGUCCGGAUUGGAGUCUGCAACUCGACUCCAUGAAGUCGGAAUCGCUAGUAAUCGUGGAUCAGAAUGCCACGGUGAAUACGUUCCCGGGCCUUGUACACACCGCCCGUCACACCAUGGGAGUGGGUUGCAAAAGAAGUAGGUAGCUUAACCUUCGGGAGGGCGCUUACCACUUUGUGAUUCAUGACUGGGGUGAAGUCGUAACAAGGUAACCGUAGGGGAACCUGCGGUUGGA